CCCUAUGGGGUGCAGCAGGGGAAGGAUGCACCCGCACCUGUGACCUUUGAUCUCAAGCCCUGAUUUCCCUGUAAGGCAGUAUUCCCGUCCCUUGUUCUUAAUAUCCAUAAUCAGGCCCUCCACAUGGGAAACAGACGUUGGAAACCCUUACUCUUUUGACGUGACUAUAGGGGGAUUAACUUUAGGUGUCAAAGGAAAAAUGUCCUUUGCUGGAGGGCAUUCCAAGAGGUUCAGGGUACACGGAACAAGCGGGUUAUCGUACGAUAACAAUUAUAUUUGACAUUUUUCCUUGAAGGUGUUCUGACAUUUAUUAUCAACAAUUUGUUGGAGGCAAUGGACAGUUUGAACGGGAUGGUCCCAAGGAAAAUAUAUUUUGCCGGAUCGAUCCGCGGCGGGCGGGGGAGC
rnacentral:rRNA from 1 species